rnacentral:rRNA from 1 species
ACCAGACUCCUACGGGAGGCAGCAGUGAGGAAUAUUGGUCAAUGGGCUUACGCCUGAACCAGCCAAGUCGCGUGAGGGAAGACUGCCCUAUGGGUUGUAAACCUCUUUUGUCAGGGAGCAAAGUCACCCACGUGUGGGUGUUGGAGAGUACCUGAAGAAAAAGCAUCGGCUAACUCCGUGCCAGCAGCCGCGGUAAUACGGAGGAUGCGAGCGUUAUCCGGAUUUAUUGGGUUUAAAGGGUGCGUAGGCGGACGCUUAAGUCAGCGGUAAAAUUGCGGGGCUCAACCUCGUCGAGCCGUUGAAACUGGGUGCCUUGAGUGGGCGAGAAGUACGCGGAAUGCGUGGUGUAGCGGUGAAAUGCAUAGAUAUCACGCAGAACUCCGAUUGCGAAGGCAGCAUACCGGCGCUCAACUGACGCUCAUGCACGAAAGCGUGGGUAUCGAACAGGAUUAGAUACCCCAGUACUA